UGUUACAGAGAUUAGAGUGGUGCAGUAUUCUAGUCAGCCAAUCCUUAUCUGAAGGCGGGGCUAAAAAUCCGUCAAAGGGCACAUCGAUGAAGUUCCUGGUGGCGGCUGCUGACGCCCAGUUGGGGGUCGUUGCUGGGAGUUAAGGUAGUGGGGCGAUCCACAAUGGCAUGUGGGCGUUGACCCUACUUCCGCGGAGGCCCAAGUGCGUGGUCGUGAAUGAUCGGUUCAUGAUUAUGGCUUGGGGUAUGAACCUAUAUGCGAGCUUUUAGUGUUAAGUAGCUUGGGUAUAGCGUAGCCUGCCUUGAGUGAUAUAGAGGGGAAAUAUAGAAAUACUUAAAUUCUAGGCCAAGAAUUUAAGUACUUGUUAGCUAUAUGAAAUCUAUGUUGCAAAAGGGGCUAGGAUAAGGUAAUUGGUUGUUGAGGAAAACUCCUAGACUGUCCUAAGGGAUGCUUCCUGGGGAUUAGAGUGCGGACUAAGUGGCAAUCUAGUCUGACGUUCGGUGACGGCGUCAAUAGAGGAAUAAAGGGAAACCGCCAGAUUGGCAACGAUUUGGAUCUUCUAUGGGAAAACCAACUAGACCUAAGCCGCAGUGUUUACUCAGGAAGCAACCACUCGAAAUAUAACAGAC
rnacentral:sRNA from 1 species